AUACAAACAACGCUGCUACAGAGCUGGGACAAAAAUCGAUGAUUAUACGAGUCUAUCGAUGCCUCCAGCAGCAAGACCGCAGCGAUAACAAUUAGAAUACCAUAUGGCCCAAAAAUUCACUAGUAAUACGAUCUCUGACGACCUCUCCGUUGGGAAAUCGCUGAAUUCCACCAUCAGCAGCUACUGAGCAGCUGAAUCGGAGACGCAGGACGCGUUUAUAUAGGGAGGAGCAAACGUGGAAGCCCGUUACGGGACAGCUGGAGGAGCCAUUAUUAUCCAUUACCAGUAUGCUGGGCGACUUCCAACAGCAUCAGCGGAACAACCAGGAUCUCAAUCUGGCUCCCACUCCCUUAAGGCCUAUGUUGGCAUAUUGCGAAUCGGAGAUGGACAUCAGAUGGCGCGGGGAAAAUGGCGAAGCAUCUUCGACACGAGAGGAAAUCCUUAAAAUAAUAACAACAAAUAAAAACAUUCUUUGAACA